GGUGGUUUUGAAGCGACAGUAAUGUUCGGUUGUGUACUUUGGCGGCGUGACCUGUUCUGUGUGUGAAGAUGUUGUCGAUUUAUUCGUGCAGACUGUUUUUCGAACGUGUAUAGUGAAUUACUGAAAAAUAAGCCAGAAUUUCUGGUAACAAAGAUGGACUUUCCGAAAAACGUCAUAAUUGUCGGAAAAUAAGUGACAAUUUAUGAAAAAUAAAUCAAUAUUCCUCUGACUUAAGUAAACCACAUAUUGGCAUGUUCUUACGCCAACUGCAUUUCCCCCUUUAAGAGUUCCUACAUUCGUAUUUGAUGUUUAACUGUAGCCAAAGAGUUCAUUAAUAUAAACUAAAAAUAAUAAUGGACCCGUAAUGGAACCCUGUGGAAGUCGGCGCAUUAUAUUUCGUAAAUUUGACAUUUUAUUACUGCAAAAAACCGCUUGCUUUCUAUUGGUUAGCAGUUUUUCAAAGGCCUUGGAAAGGUUUAAUGUGUUAUGCUCACCGCCUUAAGGCCCUCAACUAUGCCACCGACUCUAUGUAAUAGUGGUCGGGUGGUGGAACGUCCCUUUCUGACUCCAAACUGAUUUGGACUUAUCAAAUUAUACAUAUACAAUUUCGGUAACGCUCCGAAGAAAACAACAUUCAUUCGUCAACAACCAACUCAGCAGCGACAUAAAAGUUUUGUAAAAAAAAACUUCUAAAAUCAGGAGGGUAAGUUUACAAACGUUUUUACGAUACAUAGUAUGUUUACAGCACGUCUAAGUACCAAAAGAGAAAAAAAAAUUAUAACAUAUAUAUACAUAAGAUUAGAUAAAGUCUACAAUAGUAAUAGGUAUAACAACGCAAUACAUAACAUAUAAAAACAAACAGGAAUAAAAAUGAAAAGAAAAAGAUGUGGGCACCAUCAAGAAUCGUGUAAUCAGUGUAUUUAAACUUCCUAGUUCGAAGCAAAUUUGAGGGGGAAGUCGGCUAUUUAUCAUUAACCUCAAGAUUCUGAUACAGCGGUUGACAAAGGCCUCCAAAUCCUGCGUUGGAUAUAAUUCCGAUCGCUCUUUUGUGCAUACGAAAAAAUUUUCAGGGAAUCUAUUGAGUUUCCCCACAGUAUAACAACGUACGACAUAGCAUAGCAUUGUAGCUCGAGAUUAGAUAAUCCUUUCCGAUUAAAUUGACACUUGAGAGGUGCUACACACUACCGAAGUUUUUACAUUCGUGUUUGAUGUCCAUAUGGCCAAGGAGAUCAUUAAUAUAAACUAAAAACAAUAAUGGACCCCGAAGGGAACCUUGCGGAACUCCUUACAUUACAUUUCAUGAACGUGACAUUUUACUGCUGCAAAAAACUGCUUGCCUCCUAUUAGGGAGACAAGAGGACGAUAU